GAUGAGUUUACACAAGAGGGGUAAAAAUUGACUGAAGUGAGCAUGUCCCUGAUGAGUGUUGAAGAGGUAGCGGUAGGCAGGAAUGAGGUUACUUCUGGAAGGUUGUGUGGCUAAAAAAAACAAGGCUCUGUGUUUGUUUAGUAUUUUUACUUCUAAACUGAGGAUCAAAAGUGGCAGUGAACUAAAAAUUAUGCUGGUGACACACUGCUGUGUGGCACUGCCUGUGUAGAGGAGGAUCAAAAUAUCAUAUGAAUGAGAUGGAUGACUAAAGAUUGAAAUAAAAAGAAAUGGAUGAAAUUUAAUAGCACAAAGUUCAAGGUCAUGCAGUCACAGCCCAACAAAAACUUCUGCCAAGGACUGUCAGCCUAUAUUUUGGAAACAAAUGAAGAGAAGGAAAAGACUUGGGGCUACUCUCUGGCUAUAGAUUACUGCCUUCUCUCUGGUAGUGAUGCAGCAGGAUCCCACAGCAGGAACACUCUGGAAAGUACGUGAGGAAAAGAGUUGGAAGCUGUUUGAGGUGAAGCAAUUGCAAAUGUCAGUCCAUAUAUGGAGGCCAUGCCAUGGGGGGUGAUGUGCACAGCCCUGGUAAGACAUGCUCCAAAAAGAUCAAUGCCAGAACACCAGGUGUUUAGGAAAGCUGGACAAGCAGUCAAUUUAAACAAACUCUCUUCUACAGCUGGAAUAGAAGAACAAUAGAGCUUGGAGAAAAUGAGAUCUCUUGAUCUGAUUCUGACACCCUGCUGCCUCUCUCCCAGCCCCAGCCAGUGACCAGUGUCAGCACUAAUGAGGGGGAGACAGCAGCACGCCUUGUUGUAGCUGCUCUUUCUUCUUGUAGCAGUGUUGAUGACCUCCCCAGAGCACACCUCUGAAUAUGCAAGCUAUUAACUCACGUAGCAUUUCUGGGGAUUGCAGUCCCUGACAGUUUCCUCAGACACUGUGCUCCUGCAGAUGAGAAAGAAAGUGUUGGACUUGGUCACCAUGGCACAUGGAAAUGGGGAGGGCUGGGACGAGAGAGCUGGAGAGGAAGAUGAUAGUCUGGUGUUAUUCCAGGAGGUGUGGGGUGCUGAGGGUCAGCAAGUGUAGUUGUCUUGUUGCAUCUCAUGAUUAAAGCAUUUGAAAAUGA